rnacentral:rRNA from 1 species
UACGAGGGGGGCAAGCGUUGUUCGGAAUUAUUGGGCGUAAAGGGCGCGUAGGCGGUGCGGUAAGUCACCUGUGAAAACUCUGGGCUCAACUCAGAGCCUGCAGGCGAAACUGCCGUGCUUGAGUGUGGGAGAGGUGCGUGGAAUUCCCGGUGUAGCGGUGAAAUGCGUAGAUAUGACAUAGAACACCCAUUGCGAAGGCAGCUUACUACACAAUCAUUGACGCUGAGGCACGAAAGCGUGGGGAUCAAACAGG